ACUAACGGAAAUGUCUUCAGCUUACCUGGCAUUUAAGCAUACCCUUGCGAGUAAAUUUAUUUAAUCAUUAUUUUGUAUAAGUAACCAAGUAUGCGUUCUUGAUUGAAUAUAAAGAAAUGAAUUUGAGUUGAAUUUGACAAGGCUGACUGGUGGAAGAAACAUACGGUUUAUGAAGUUGAAUUAGAUACUAACAGUCUGUCUUUUAACCACCAACAUUCAAGUGUGUGUAGAUUGUAGAAGAUAUUCAGAAUUCGUUUGGCUGCGGAACAGAUUGCUCAGAAUGCCAUGCACUGUCUUGAGGGAAACAUUGUUCUUAUCAUGCAGCGCGUUGCACCUGUUCCUUCAAACAAAUCUGAAGCCUAAAAUGGUGGAUUUAUGUAGGCUACUGAAAACGGAAAAAUAAAUCAAACGAUCAUAAAGUCGAAUUGCUGGGUCAAACCGAACACAUUGGAA